rnacentral:lncRNA from 1 species
ACUUAAGUUCCGUUAACAGAUCUUGGAGCUGUUCUGUUUUAUUAGAUUCAAGGUUACUUAGGCAUGAUUGUGCUCAUUUAACCUUGGCUCUUUCCCAGUAAGCGCAUUGUCAGGAUGUUGAAUAUUCUCCUCUAGACAAGCCAUUUCAUUCAAAGUUUGGCACUAGCUGCUAACCAUUUUUAAAAAGAAAAGGCUUGUAAGAGAAAAUAGUAUUGUGAUUCGACGACCCGCCACCCGCUUGAGGAUAAGAAAGACACAGGGACACGGUAUAUUAGGUUAAUGGGCUAAAAAAGGCCACAACUUUAUUGAUUACAGCAUGUGAGAGGUAUUGGCUUAGGCAUUGGAUAAAACAACAGAGCGUGACUCCACACCCGCAGGGAGGGGUGAGUCUAUCAAGGGUUAAUCACCAGUGGGAGGAGCCUGUUGAUGCAAAUACAACUGAAAGCUCCCCCUGAUGUCACCGGGGGUCGUGCCAUGGCCCUAGCCACCAGCAAGGGUGUUGGACAGGAUCCACAACCGCCGGAUUCCUUUACCGGAAUACCCAUAAAAUGGAGGGGUAGGCGAUGGCCACACCCUGCCCUCCAACACACAACCAUAUUCCAAUGCCUAGGACCGGGGGGGGGGGAGAUCCUUUAAAACUUUAAAAGGACCGGGGGGGGGUAUCAAAGCCCGAAAAAACUAGAAAAGGGGAGGGGGAUACAGCCAGCCAAACCCACACCCCCGCCUCCGAACCUCACACACUGCUUUGCACACCGCUGUUGCCUCAGGCUCUCAGUAACAGUUGCUGCGUUCAGACCUGGUGUUCAGAGUUGGCAGUGCAAGGCAGCGGGAGCCUGCUGGCUCAACCGGCGUUGACGGGGCGAUCUUCUGCAGACCAGUUAGCCUAAAGCAAACUAGCUGCUAAAAAUCCUCAACACUUGCUCAGCCUGCACGUGGUCGAGGAGGUCCUUCCUGGAGGUCGUAAACCGAUGUCUUGAUCCGACGAGAAGCAGCAGCACAAUGGCUGGGAAACACUUCCGCGGCCGCGUUUGAGCAGCUAAACACUGCCCCCAAGCCUCCAGCCGAUUGGCUGGCCACCUGGGGGGGGUGGCGCAGCAGCCGGAGCAGCUGGGCAGGGGGCGGAACACCCCCUGCCAAUGCGGGAAACGGCUCCCGCUCACAACUUGAAGAGGAGAGGCUUUCCUGUAAGACAGAGUUGUUCCACCUGGCCUUUGGCUUGGAAUCAACUUGAUCCCCUUCCCCUCUUUCCUUUUUCCUUUCUCCUUCUGUGAUGGAACUCCUAUUUGGGGACUUCCCUGGCUUUUUUCUGGCCCACGUAGGACAGUCUGGAUAGUUGGCCUUGGUGAAGAUUUGACGUUUUCAUCCCCAAAAAGUUUUUGAUUUGAGUUUCUACUAAAAUGAGGCUGCAUUUUAAUGUUGUAUUUUAAUCUUAUUUUUAAGUUGUAUUUUGAUCAAUUGUUUUUAUACCUGGUGUUAGCCUCCCUGAGCCUGGUCUUGGCUGGGAAGGGCGGGGUAUAAAUAAAACUUAUUAUUAUUAUUAGCCAAGUCUUUGCCAACCUGGUGCCUAAGGGAAGCCCACAAGCAAGUCCCAAGCAGAAAAACCACUCUCCUCUUCUGUGGUUUCCAGCCACAGAAUUAUUCCAGCCACAGUAUUCAGAAGAAUAUAUCAUGGAAUGUGUGGGGUAUUAGGGCAGGGGUAGUACCACGGGUGGGGACACAUCAUGAUCCUUCUGGGGUAGUUUGUCCACCUUUGGCCCCCUACCUGAACUCAGCUCUCACCUGUGGUUCAUAGAAGUUGUCAGCAUGCGACAGCGGCCACACCCCAGGAAUGGCUUUGAUGGACCAGUUAAAGCAUUCAGACAUGCAUUCCAAACAAUCCCAGGAUUCUCAGAUUUGAUCAUUGCCACCCCACCCACAAGAAGUAAAAGCACCAGUUUAGAGCUCUAAUCCUAUGAACCUGGAAGUAAUCCUCACUGAACCUCAAUGAACUCACUUCUGAGCAAAAAUGCAUUGGAUUCCUACGCAACACUCUGUUAACUUAAGCAAUGCUAUGAUCUUGGAAGGAAGCCCCACUAAACACAGUGGAUCUUACUUCUUAUUAGGCAUGAGUAGUGAUAUGGACAUGCUUGAUUCAGAAUAUCCGAUACCUGCAAGAAACAAUAGCAAUCACAUCAGAAAGAAUUGCAUUGAUAGGCUUAUUAAAAUGAUUGGUUCUUUCCUGCUGAUGACAACAGAGCAGCUUUUGAAAAACGACAGAUGCCAGCUGCUAGCUCUGCGCUUGUUUCAAGCAGACUGGGAAAUGUACAUCAGAGAAGGGCAAUGCAUUGGGAACUGACUUGGUAUUCUUUGGACCACUGAAAUGAAUGAUGAACUAUUUGGCACCAAUUCUCCCCUUCCCACAUGCCUAUAUAUGAUAUACAUCAGAGAAUAUUGGGAAAUUUACAUUUGAUUUUUUUUUUUCUUCAUUUGCAUCUUCUAGAAUUCAUUUUGAUGUUACGGAUGAAAGGCUUGAUGGUGCUUUUGAAGGAUUCAGGAGGAAGCAAUUAGGUCUCCCUGUUGCAAAAAAGGCUUGCUCUGAUCCCAUGGUUGUGUUCCAGCUGCAGUGAUGAAACUGUGACUUGCAGUGAUAUAGCUAAAAUCUCAUCCUAGAAGUGGUUUUUUGUUGUUGUUUAAAAGGUGACUUGCUCUGUGCUAUAAGCAAUAAAACAACGAACAAGGCAGUGAUACAAUGACUUCUGCAAUCGACACAAGAUAAUAUCACAAAGGCAACUAUCUGCAAACCAACAAUAAAUGUCCAGAAAAAUGGCAAAA